UAUUAUGACACAACAUACAAAUCAGAUAAUUCAUUGGUUUAUUACUUGCAAAAAUCUUAUCCUGCUGCACAUUAUGAAGCUUUUUUGAGAUAUCUUCAAUCUACCCAGCCUACCACAGCUAAGUUUGUAACCUACCACAGCAACAUCUUCAUCUGCAAUUAGUGCUCUAGUUCCAUCCUCAAUUGCAUUGAGUGUUCCAUCUACAUCUGGAAUAAUUGUUACAUCUUCAGCUGCUACAAGUGUCCCACAACCUCCACAACAAUCAACACAACCUUCU
rnacentral:lncRNA from 1 species